AGACAAUGAGUUUUUUCUCAUCCUUGUAACCUUUUUUCAACCCUAAGAGUGCUAUAUAUAUGACUUUUCUUCUUUUUGAAAUCUCAUGCAGAAAAGUGAAAAGGCUUGAUCAAUCCCAAGACUAUUUCCAUUUAGUUCCCAAAAGAUUUCUAGAGGUGGGAGGAAAUAGAGUCUUUGGACAAAGUUCCAAGAACUUGUUUGAGCCUUUCUUGUAUUCUUCUUCUUGUUGUUCUUAUUUUGUAUCUAAGAGAGUUUUAUUGUAUCAAAGUGAGUGUGUGAGAGUGUUUCCUUUCUCCAUUGUAUCCAAAUUUUCUCAACAAUCAAAGACUCUAUUCUCAAUGGAGGGAGAGACUAUCAAGAUUAUGAACCAAGACCUUGUGAGGUUGGAUCGUUUUGAUGGUUCCAACUUCACUAGGUGGCAAGACAAGGUGAGAUUCCUUCUCACAGCACUCAAGAUUUUCUACAUCCUUGAUCCUACCUUGGCACCAUUACCGGAACCAAAGGAAAAUGACACACCUCAAGUGGUGGCGGCAAGGAAGAAGAGGGAGGAGGAUGAGCUCAUAUGUAGGGGUCAUAUUUUGAACGCCUUAUCCGAUAGGCUAUAUGAUCUCUACACCAACACCAAUUCCGCGAGGGAGAUUUGGGAGGCUCUUGAAAACAAGUACAAAGCCGAGGAAGAAGGUACCAAAAAGUUUCUUAUUUCUCAAUACAUAGAUUUCAAAUUUUUUGAUGAAAAGCCUCUCUUACCACAAAUUCAUGAGUUGCAAGUAAUUGUGAAUAAGUUGAAAGUUCUCAAAAUUGAACUUCCGGAGGCCUUCCAAGUUGGUGCUAUUGUGGCUAAAUUACCAUCAAGUUGGAAAGGUUACCGGAAGAGGAUUCUCCACAAGAGUGAAGAUUACUCCUUGGAGGAGAUUCAAAAACAUCUUCGCAUUGAAGAAGAAUCGAGAUCAAGAGACAAAAUGGUAGAAGAGUCCAAUGGUGGGACUAACAAAGCCAAUGCGAUUUCAAAGGCCAAUCAUCCUAGAGGUAAAAAUAACAACAACAAAAAGAAUUCCGGAAAUUAUAUGAGCCCUAAGAAAAAUCAAGAGCAAUUUAAGGGCAAGAAAGGUCCUUGUUUUGUGUGUGGAAAACCCGGGCAUUAUGCUAGGGAGUGUAGGUUCCGAAAGGACCAAAAAGGGGCUGUGGUGAAUGCAAUUGAUGAGGAGAUCAUUGCAACACUAAGCGAUGUGUGCGUUGUCCAAGGAAAGGUGCAAGGAUGGUGGUAUGAUACUUGUGCCACAGUUCAUGUUACCUAUGACAAAUCUCUUUUCAAGACCUUUGAAGAUGCAAAGGGAAAUCAAGAGGUUCAAAUGGGCAAUGAAGGAAAAUCCAAGGUGCUUGGCAAGGGCACUAUUGAAGUUGUUUUUACCUCCGGCAAAAAGGUUACCCUUACAAAUGUAUUGUAUGUCCCCGAUAUGAAUAAAAAUUUGGUUAGUGGGGAUUUGCUUGGCAAACCGGGUAUCAAAGCGGUGUUUGAAUCCGGUAAGCUAAUUUUAUCCAAAUCGGGGAACUUUGUGGGAAAGGGGUAUUCUUGUGAUGGGAUGAUCAAACUUUGUACCAAUGACAAUAUCAUUAAAAUGGCUUCUACUUCCGCUUAUAUGUGUGAUUCAAAUUCUUUAUUUUUGUGGCAUAAUAGGCUUGCACAUGUUGGUUUAAGCACUAUUAAAAGGAUUGUGAAAUGUGGUUUGAUUGCUUGUGAUACCAAAAAAUUUGAAAAAUGUGAAAUAUGUGUUAAAUCAAAGAUGAUUAAAAAGCCUUUUCAUAGUGUUGAGAGAUCAUCUAAUUUGCUUGAUUUAGUACAUAGUGAUCUUUGUGAACUUAAUGGCAUGUUAACAAAAGGUGGAAAUAGGUAUUUUAUUACAUUCAUAGAUGAUUGUUCUAGAUUUACCUAUGUGUUUUUGUUGAAAAACAAAAGUGAAACUUUCAAUGCCUUUAAAGUUUACAAAACCGAAGUUGAAAAUCAACUAGGAAAAAAUAUUAAGGUGCUUAGAAGUGAUAGAGGUGGUGAAUAUUUCUCUAGUGAAUUCAAUUCUUUUUGUGAAGAAUAUGGCAUAAUACAUGAGUGCACCGCACCCUAUACACCUCAACACAAUGGCAUAGCGGAGAGAAAGAAUAGAACAUUCUUGGAAAUGGUGAAUGCUAUGUUAUUGCAUGCUAAAUUGAAUUUCAAUUUGUGGGGUGAAGCUUUGUUUACUGCUUGCCAUAUUUUGAAUAGAAUUCCUAUGAAGAAAAAUGAGAUAUCUCCAUAUGAGUUAUGGAAAAGAAGGAAGCCUAAUAUAGGUUACUUCAAAGUGUGGGGGUGUCUUGCUUAUUGCAAGAAAACGGAUCCAAAUAAAACAAAAUUGAGUCCAAGAGCCAUUAAGUGUGCAUUUGUAGGCUAUGCCUCAAAUAGCAAAGCUUAUAGGCUAUUAGACUUGGAGUCUAAUGUGAUAAUUGAAUCAAGAGAGGUAGAGUUCUUUGAGAAUUUGUUGAGUGAUAGCAAUUCUCAAGUACCUACUAGUGUUGGAGAGUCUCUAGAGGAGACACCUUCAAAAGUUAUUGAGCAACCCAUUGUGCCUCGGAAAAGCCAAAGAGCUAGAAAAGAGAAAGUGUUGGGAUCGGAUGAGAUUGACUCUCAAAGAAUUUCCUUCUACUUAGUAGAAGGAAAUAGAGAAGAUAUUAUAAGAAAAAUUCCUAUAGUACUUCAAAUAGAGGAGGAUCCCAAAACAUACAAAGAAGCUAUGGCUUCUAGAGAUGUUGCUUUUUGGAAAGAGGCUAUCAAUGAUGAAAUGGAUUCAAUUAUGUCCAACCAAACAUGGGAAUUGGUAGACCUUCCACCAGGAUCUAAACCAAUAGGGUGCAAGUGGGUAUUUCGAAGGAAAUAUCACACCGAUGGCAUGAUUCAAACCUUUAAGGCUAGAUUAGUAGCUAAGGGGUUUAAACAAAGAGAAGGUAUUGAUUAUUUUGAUACCUAUGCGCCGGUGGCUAGAACAACAUCGAUUAGGAUAUUGUUUGCUUUGGCAUCAAUUCAUAAUCUAUUUGUUCAUCAAAUGGAUGUCAAAACGGCAUUCUUGAAUGGGGAUCUCAAUGAGGAGGUCUACAUGGAACAACCGGAAGGUUUUGUUCUACCGGGGAAUGAAAACAAAGUGUGUAAGCUUGUCAAAUCAUUAUAUGGUUUAAAACAAGCUCCCAAACAAUGGCACGAAAAAU
rnacentral:lncRNA from 1 species